rnacentral:rRNA from 1 species
AUUGAACGCUGGCGGCAGGCCUAACACAUGCAAGUCGAACGGUAACAGCAAGCAGCUUGCUGCUUUGCUGACGAGUGGCGGACGGGGGAGUAAUGUCUGGGAAACUUCCUGAUGGAGGGGGAUAACUACUGGAAACGGUAGCUAAUACCGCAUAACGUCGCAAGACCAAAGAGGGGGACCUUCGGGCCUCGUGCCAUCGGAUGUGCCCAGAUGGGAUUAGCUAGUAGGUGGGGUAACGGCUCACCUAGGCGACGAUCCCUAGCUGGUCUGAGAGGAUGAACAGCCACACUGGCACUGAGACACGGUCCAGACUCCUACGGGAGGCAGCAGUGGGGAAUAUUGCACAAUGGGCGCAAGCCUGAUGCAGCCAUGCCGCGUGUAUGAAGAAGGCCUUCGGGUUGUAAAGUACUUUCAGCGGGGAGGAAGGGAGUAAAGUUAAUACCUUUGCUCAUUGACGUUACCCGCAGAAGAAGCACCGGCUAACUCCGUG